GUGAGGUUAAAACACAUACUGCAUGCUGCCCCUAGCAGUGGCAUUAACACACAUCAGCAAAUGGGCACAACUUCAGAAGCAUUAAAUACAGAGCCUCUCUUAAUAGACUGGCAGGACAUCUGUAAUGAACAAUGACAUUUUAAUGCAGAUUACACAGCUGACAUUUGAGAGAAUUCCAUUCAGUAAACCACAUUCUUCAUUUCAGUGGCUCAGCGCUCUACAUUUUGUAUCCGCCCUGCUGGCCUUCUGUUGAGCAUCUUCUUGGCAGGAAAUAGAGUCCUGUUUGUCACUUUAUUGUUAUUCAGUCAUCAGUCAAGCAAAUGGGACAAUCCCCACAAACUGACAUUUAAGCGAGUGGAACAUGUCCCCGCGAGGAAGGUGGAGGGAAAAUUAUCCAGAAUGCUUUGAGACAGUCCUCACAUUCAGUCCCCCAGGGGAAGUGACAUCACUACCUGUUGCGCUCUCACGAUGAAUGGGUUCUCUGUUCUCAGAGUUGGGUGGCAGAAGGCUGUAGCUCCUGCGAAAUGUGGGACUAUUUAUAGCACGCUGGAAAAAACCAAGACCAUUUUGCUGCCAACCCCUAACAGAUGGAGGAAGUUUGCCGAUUCUGUCCUUGAGUCUGCGCGUCACCGCCUGUGACAGCUCCCCGGAGGUGUGACAUUGUCAGAGCCGCUGAAGAGUUCUACUCAAAUUAUUCUAAAUCCAGCCAGUCUUGGACAGGGACAUUCAGGGUAUGCAAAUGAUCCCAUGUCCAUGUCGUACGUGUCACCGUUAGUGUGUGCCUGUGUGCUCGAGUGUGUAAAUAUGCAUGAGGGUGGGCUUGUGUAGGUGCACAUACACAUAUGUGUUCAUAUACUGUACGUGUGUGUGUAGGUGGGUAUGUUCAGGCAUGUGGAUAAGGAUGUGUGUGUGUAUGAUUGCAUGUGUGUGUGCAUGCGUUUACGUGUGUGUGUGUGUGUGUGUGUGUGCGUGUGUGUGUGUGUGUGUGUGUGUAUUUGUGUGUGUGUGUGUGUGUGUGCGUGCGUGCGUGUGUGUACAGUAUAUACCUGUAUGUCUGUGUGUGUGACUGGGAGGUGGUGGGGUGGGGAUGAAACUGUAAAGAACACCUCGUAAGCAGCCUUUCUGACUCCAUCAUUCGAAGCACCACAUUUAAUUAAUUAGGUCUGUUGUACUCGGCACACCAAAAGGAUUUAUGUUGCAAUAAUUUGACUUUCUGCUGAAUUCAUCUCAUUAAACUUUCCAGUGAUACAGGCCGGCUAUGGUCCGAAAGGCUGCUUUGCUUCUUCUUCUUUUUUUUUUUUUGCAACUCAAGAAUUGGAUCCUGCCUGACCGCAAAUGGAUGGGCAUUUGACAGAAUAUUUGUGUCCUCUGAUCUUAGAGCACCCCAACUCCUGAAAGAGUGUCCUCAUUUAGCCAGAACUGUGUAGCUGGCAGAGGCCAAAGAAUAUGCUAUUACAUUAUCGAAUGAACAAGACAAAAAUCUAAUCAUGUCAACUGCUGCUUUAUCACAAUGCUUUUAUUAUAUUUCCAAAACCAGGACAUCUGAGAAUAAAUUUAGAUAAGCCCUCACAGAAUGCACCUAUAGAUUCAGCCUUUAUAAUGUGAUCAUACUAGUAGGCAGCUUUAAUUACACUUUAUUGAUUGUAUUUUUUGACUGAAGAAAGUUUUGUGCGCUUACUGAUGCAUUCUGUUUAUUUAAACCAACAUCUGUCAUCUAGCUUUUGGGAUUUGGAUGUGUAUAGUAUUUGCAAGCAUUUUUCUUUUAAAAAUAAGAAAAAUGGUAGACAAAAUCCCAUUAGACUUCAUUAUUGCGGAGUUCAAAUGCUGGUAAUCUGAAGGUGACAUUCUUUUAGCGUAUUAUAACCAAAUAACUAAACUACUCUUGGAGAACACAUAUUGAAUUAUUUUUGUUCUACCACAGAAUUUAGAAAAUAAAACAAGUUGAACUUCCAGGUAAAAUACUCAGGACCAAUAAAAUAUUCUUAAAGGGACCCCACUGUCAGCACAUAUCUGAAGGCACUAAAUGAGCUUAGUGGCACUCUUGUGCCUUUGUCUUAUGGGAGGACUGGAUUAUGAUUUCAUUGCAUCUCCAAGCACUGAGAAAACAGAAUAUCUCUUCCUGAGAAGGCCUCAUUUCAAAAUAUGAGAGGACCUACUUGUGGAUAUUCAGCAUAUAAAGCAUUCGAUUUUAAGAAAUUAUUUUUAUCCAAUCUGCCUAUCUGUCCAAUUUCCACUAAAUUAUUCAGGUCUGUUCCACGUCAAUGACAUCAAUAGUAGGCCUUACUGGAGCAUGAUACGUAAGUGAUCUGAAAGAGUAUGGUGAAUCCUGAUUAAAAUCCCUUUCCACUGCACACACACAUGUAUAAUUCAUCCUUAUUUCAGAGCUGGGAGGGGGAGGACAAGACACCUGCAAAAUGGUAAAUUACUUUUUUCGGUGUGGAGGUUUAUUGCAGGGAUAAGCAGGAUUUGGGGGCUCACGCCAGACUUUGAUUCCAGAGCUGCUGACGUUAAGCCUGAAGGUGACACGAACGUCAUUCAAAAUACGCAUUCCUUGGGUGUAGACAUAAUUAACCUUCCUUUCAGGCUGAACUUGAAUUUGCCGAGUGAUCUUAAAUAGUUGGUCAGAAAGGGCAUUUGGGGGAUGAGAGCUUCUUCCUCUCUUGCUUUAACCCUUGUGUUCAGUUUGGGUUGUCAAAUUUACCUGUUUUAAACUUUUGGUGACAGAGAAAUGACAUUUGAGGCAGGCAUUUCAUAACCAGUGACUAAUGCAGUGUAAUGUAUUUCUAUUUCUUGUUCAUCAUCUGUUUGUGCUUUAUGUCUGUUUGACUUAAUGGUUUCUUUCAAUAUAAUAAGAUAAAUAAGAACAUAUUUUCACAGAUAAAUAUGAUUUAUUCCCUC